GACGAACGCUGGCGGCGUGCCUAAUACAUGCAAGUCGAACGCAGUGGGGACGGGUGAGUAACACGUGGGUAACCUCCCAUCAGAGGGGAUAAAACUUGGAAACAGGUGCUAAACCGAUACUGAUGGAUGGACCCGCGGUGCAUUAGCUAGUUGGUGAGGUAACGGCUCACCAAGGCCACGAUGCAUAGCCGAACGGAUAGUGUGGCCGGCCACCCUGGGACUGAGACACGGCCCAGACUCCUACGGGAGGCAGCAGUGGGGAAUCUUCGGCAAUGGACGAAAGUCUGACCGAGCCACGCCGCGUGAGUGAAUAAGGCUUUCGGAUCGUAAAACUCUUUUGUUAGAGAAGCGGUAUCUAACCAAAAAGCCACGGCUAACUCCGUGCCAGCAGCCGCGGUAAUAC
rnacentral:rRNA from 1 species